GCCUACGGGGCGCAGCAGUAGGGAAUCUUCCACAAUGGACGAAAGUCUGAUGGAGCAACGCCGCGUGAGUGAAGAAGGGUUUCGGCUCGUAAAGCUCUGUUGGUAGUGAAGAAAGAUAGAGGUAGUAACUGGCCUUUAUUUGACGGUAAUUACUUAGAAAGUCACGGCUAACUACGUGCCAGCAGCCGCGGUAAUACGUAGGGGGCAAGCGGUGUCCGGAUUUAUUUGGCGUUAAGCGAGUGCAGGCGGUU
rnacentral:rRNA from 1 species